rnacentral:sRNA from 12 species
GCGAGGAGGGCGCAUAUGAAUCGAAGAUUCAUAUUUAGGAUGCGCCCGACAACCUACCACAGAGCGGAUGCGAUGUGGUGAUACCCGAG